UGUACGACUGCCAAAACGGACACGAACAAUGACUGCUACACAGCUGAUACUUGUUUGGAUCUCCGUUUACGUCACACCACGGUCUUCUUCGGAGAUAGAUGGCGUUGAAAACUAGAAUUACCAUCUGAGUUGUUCUUCUACGGAUAUUAUCCUUGCUGAUGUCGAAUGUUAUGUGCUAACCCUUGCUCCUUCAAUAACUGGCUAACAACAGCCUACCGACCGUGGAAUAGUCUGUUAACGAGCCGUGUUAUCACCUGUGCUAACGAAGCUAACAUCACAGUGACCGAGGUUUAUCGUCAGAAAUAUGAGAAGAGAAUACAAAUUCAGCUAAAGGAUGCCCGAGCCAGCUUUGAAAAUUAACCACGGGAUCGCUGCUGGGUGAUUCCUAUGGUCUGACCACGGACAUGUUCCUGAGCUAUGA